UCCGCUAGUGAACUGCAGAGGGAUCAUUACUGAGUGAGGGCCUUCGGGCUCGACCUCCAACCCUUUGUGAACACAACUUGUUGCUUCGGGGGCGACCCUGCCGUUUCGACGGCGAGCGCCCCCGGAGGCCUUCAAACACUGCAUCUUUGCGUCGGAGUUUAAGUAAAUUAAACAAAACUUUCAACAACGGAUCUCUUGGUUCUGGCAUCGAUGAAGAACGCAGCGAAAUGCGAUAAGUAAUGUGAAUUGCAGAAUUCAGUGAAUCAUCGAAUCUUUGAACGCACAUUGCGCCCUUUGGUAUUCCGAAGGGCAUGCCUGUUCGAGCGUCAUUUCACCACUCAAGCCUAGCUUGGUAUUGGGCGCCGCGGUGUUCCGCGCGCCUCAAAGUCUCCGGCUGAGCUGUCCGUCUCUAAGCGUUGUGAUUUCAUUAAUCGCUUCGGAGCGCGGGCGGUCGCGGCCGUUAAAUCUUUCACAAGGUUGACCUCGGAUCAGGUAGGGAUACCCGCUGAACUUAAGCAUAUCAAUAAGCGGAGGAAAAGAAACCAACAGGGAUUGCCCUAGUACGGNNGGGGGA
rnacentral:rRNA from 1 species